rnacentral:sRNA from 1 species
GGGAGCGCAGGUUCAGAUCCUGCAGUCG